rnacentral:rRNA from 1 species
UACGUAGGGUGCGAGCGUUGUCCGGAAUUAUUGGGCGUAAAGGGCUCGUAGGCGGUUUGUCGCGUCGGGAGUGAAAUCCACUGGCUUAACUGGUGGCUUGCUUUCGAUACGGGCAGGCUGGAGGUAUGCAGGGGAGAACGGAAUUCCUGGUGUAGCGGUGAAAUGCGCAGAUAUCAGGAGGAACACCGGUGGCGAAGGCGGUUCUCUGGGCCUUACCUGACGCUGAGGCGCGAAAGCUAGGGUAGCAAACAGG